UGGCCUGGUUUCCUGGGGGGUGGGCUCAGGCUACUCCACUUCCCCUCAACCGAGCCUAAAGCAAAGAGGCCAGGUGUCUUCCGGCAUGGGAGAGGUGUUUAAAGAAAGAAGCCUUACCUGGGCUGUCCUAGCCUCACAUUU
rnacentral:snoRNA from 1 species